CAUCCUAGUCAGCAGGACGAGAGAGACACAUGGAUGAGGAGGAGGGUGGCGAUGAGGAUCCCGAUGCUCCUCCUGCUGCCGAUGCGCCUCUCCGCCUCACCUCCGCCUCCUCCACCUCCGCCUCGCAUCGCUGGCCUCAGCCGCCGCCGACCAGCGCAGGUGGACGGGACCCCAUCUCUGCUUAGCAGUCCUUCUUUCUGGAACAACAUCCUGUGGUCAAGGAAUCCGAAGCCCUCCUGGUGGCACCAUCCUUGCAGCCAGGCAUUCACCUCCAGGAUGCAUCUGUCUCUGCCUGGGCCCCUAUCCUUGACUGGAAGGAUUGAAGAGAACACCAUCUGUGUUCCCAGAUCCUUCAGUCUUACUCCCAGAGCCCUGUAGUCACUUGAUCUGCUAAUGUUUCUGUUCUUGUAAUGUUUCUGUUGGAAUUAUAACACUAUUCUUGUACUUCCCCUCCCCUUUAACUCCAUCUUAAUUUUUUCAUAGGGAAAAUUCAUUUUUUAAAAAUAAAACUAUUAAACUUUUUUAUAAAUGAACAUUAAACAAGAAAUUCCAUCAGAUCCAGCUAUCAUGCUAACCUGCAAUACCUAAUGAAGUUGAAGAUAUGUAGUAUCAGCCUUACAUAUUUUUAAAAAUGUAUCUUAUAAUACUAUAUUCACUAGUAUGCUCUGGCUGCUUUGUAUCACUGGUGUAGUGCAAAGCGGCUAAAGUAUAUUGGCCAGUUAAAUCAGAUGUACAUCUGUUUUGCAUCACUGGAGUAGCACAAAGCAGCUAGAGCAUUCUGAUGAACCUGGCUUUUAACUGGCUAGUAUACAACCACGGAACUUUUAAGAGCAGUGACAGUUGAGGCCACUUCAAUGACAGCUGGCAAGUAAGACAUCUAUCAAUGAGAACUCUUCACAUAUAGAAUCAUAGUUUAUAUGUAUACAGUCCCUUAAUACAACUGACUCAUUCCAACCAAUAAAACUGAAGCAUGCAAAUGAACUGGAGAGGAAGGGCAGUUAUUUGGGUGAGUUACCUCUGAUGCCACUAUGGUAUUAUUUAAGAGUGACCUGAGUUAUUGACCUGGCUCAGUCUGUUAGAUACAAUUAUUAAUUACUUAAUUACAGCCUAAUCACAUCAAGUAUAGUCUGCAUACAAGGUUUCAAUAACAAUAUGUGAUUUGAAGCUUUUGUAUUCUUUAUUAAGAUCACUUGUGAUACUAGAGGUCUGAUAGUAAGUGCUACAUUUCUUUAGGACUCAUACUAAUGAACUUUAACUCAUACUAAUUAUCCAAUAUAGCUGUAAGUUCUCACAAAUAACGCUUCUUCACUCAAACAAUAAA